CACCUUUUCUUCCUCCUCAUUUCUCAUAUCGUGUCAUUCUUUCGUUUUUGCACUUUCUCCGCACUCUGAAUUUUGCAACUCGCAUUCAAAUUCGUACCUUUUGUUUUUUGAAAAAAGGAAAUAAAAUAAUACAUCUCUGUAGAUUGUGAGUGCUGGGAAAAAUUGGUUAGGUGGAAAAAUUAGAAAUUAUAAGUUUUUUUUUUUUUUAAUCAAAAUUAGGAAUUCAAAGAUUUAGCAUUGACUAUCUACUUGUGCAUUUUUUUCACUCUUUUCUUUUGGGAAUUAUAGAGGCUCUGCGGACAAGUAAGAGGGAAAUGGCGGUUGCAACAAGAGAAAUUUUACGUCUAAUAUAUCUUCAUCGCCAUCGCCGUCGCCUGAUGAGGAUCCCAGAACCAGGACGAACAAUCUCGCGUGCUCCAUGCCUCCCUCACUCAUGUUAUAAAGUUGGGAUGGACUGAAGCUGCGCUAAUUGCAGGAGCAAAGGAUGUUGGACUCUCCCCUUCCAUCGUUGGGUUCUUUGCCGAGGAAGGAAGUCGCUCUGGUUGAGGUGCUGAGCUUUCAUAUGGUAAAGUGGCUGAAACCAAGUUCUCGAGCGUUGAGAAGGAAGAAUAGCAAUACCAGAAACAAUCUAUCUUGGCAGAGUCUAAAUU